rnacentral:rRNA from 1 species
CGUAGGUAACCUGCCUGGUAGCGGGGGAUAACUAUUGGAAACGAUAGCUAAUACCGCAUAACAGUAGAUAUUGCAUGAUAUCUGCUUGAAAGGUGCAAUUGCAUCACUACCAGAUGGACCUGCGUUGUAUUAGCUAGUUGGUGGGGUAACGGCUCACCAAGGCGACGAUACAUAGCCGACCUGAGAGGGUGAUCGGCCACACUGGGACUGAGACACGGCCCAG